GGGUCUGUAGCUCAGCUGGUUAGAGCACCGUCUUGAUAAGGCGGGGGUCGCUGGUUCGAAUCCAGCCAGACCCACCA
rnacentral:tRNA from 1 species